rnacentral:rRNA from 1 species
AUGAACGCUGGCGGCGUGCCUAAUACAUGCCAGUCGAGCGAACGGACGAGAAGCUUGCUUCUCUGAUGUUAGCGGCGGACGGGUGAGUAACACGUGGAUAACCUACCUAUAAGACUGGGAUAACUUCGGGAAACCGGAGCUAAUACCGGAUAAUAUUUUGAACCGCAUGGUUCAAAAGUGAAAGACGGUCUUGCUGUCACUUAUAGAUGGAUCCGCGCUGCACUAGCUAGUUGGUAAGGUAACGGCUUACCAAGGCAACGAUGCAUAGCCGACCUGAGAGGGUGAUCGGCCACACUGGAACUGAGACACGGUCCAGACUCCUACGGGAGGCAGCAGUAGGGAAUCUUCCGCAAUGGGCGAAAGCCUGACGGAGCAACGCCGCGUGAGUGAUGAAGGUCUUCGGAUCGUAAAACUCUGUUAUUAGGGAAGAACAUAUGUGUAAGUAACUGUGCACAUCUUGACGGUACCUAAUCAGAAAGCCACGGCUAACUACGUG